UGUCGCUCAACAACAAUCAAGAUGAUCACGGGCUGUGUGAUACGGACAGACGACGCCUUAAAUACCACACAGCCCACGCUUCUGUAGGACAGGUUGGAUUGCUCAGGGAUGGACGACCACCUCACAGCAUAGAUCCUUUACUUCCUCGACCACCGACCACAGUAUGUGAGGAACCGGGACUGUGAGUCUGACACGGUUGUCUGCAGAUCGGGGGCCCCGCAGGGAACCGUUCUGGAUCCCUUCCCUUUCACCUUCUACUCAACUCAGCCAACUGACACGUGCAAAAGUUCUCUGACGACUCUGCAAUGUUCGGCCUCAUCACAGACGGGGACGACGGGGGAGUACAGAGAACUCACCAGGGCCACCUCCAGAUCAAUGCAGAGAAAACCAAAGAGCUGAUGGUGGAUUUCCGCAGGUGCAAACACUUUCCUCCUGUACCAGUGAAUAUCCAGGAACGGUGGGGAAAUCUUAUAAGUGUUACCCUGAAUAACUAACUGCAACACAAAUGCACUGCACAUUAAGGAAGGUGCAGACUCCAUGUGCUGAGGAGACUCGGGUCUUUUGGGGUGCAGGGAGCAAUUCUGAGGACCUUUUUUGACUUUGUGGUGGCAUCAGCCAUAUUCUAUGGCGUGGUCUGCUGGGGCAGCAUCUCGACUGCUGGCAGGAAAAGACUUAACAGACUGGUUAAGGAGGUCAGCUCCGUCCUGGAACGCUCCCACGAUCCAGUGGAGGAGGUGGGAGAAAGUAGAAUGAUGGAGAACAGUGUGACACAGCUCCUUCAGUGACGGCUGUGUGAAGGAGAGGACUUCCUGAUGCUGUCUGACUUUACAACCAACACUGCUCCCAGUAGACUGCUCCCAACCGACACUUCAUUCAUGUGCUAUAUCAAUGUAUGCCACUGUACAAUACCAAUAAUUCAUAUUCAGUCUAUCUGCUUUAUAUUCAGCUUUUAUACUAUUAUACAUACUUAUUUAUUAUAUCAUGUGUUUUCUCCACUCCUCGUUGUGAAACUAAUAAAGGAUUAUCUUUUCUUA